rnacentral:lncRNA from 1 species
CUCUAGUACUGUCCCAGAGGUUGACCACUAGAGGGUGGUAGUGCUCCAUCACAUUACCCUGCUGUAGUCCUCUAGUACUGUCUCAGAGGUUGACCACUAGAGGGUGGUAGUGCUCCAUCACAUUCCCCUGUUGUAGUCUAGUACUGUCUCAGAGGUUGACCACUAGAGGGUGAUAGUGCUCCAGCACAUUACCCUGCUGUAGUCUAGUACUGUCUCAGGAAGAUUGUGUGGAGAGAGAGCUGGGAAAGAGCUGUAAGGGAACAUCUAGCGUACACUAGGGUACAACAUCUAGGGUACAUCUAGGGAACAUCUAGGGUACACUAGGGUACAACAUCUAGGGAACAUCUAGGGUACACUAGAGUACAACAUCUAGGGAACAUCUAGGGUACACUAGGGUACAACAUCUAGGGAACAUCUAGGGUACACUAGGGUACAACAUCUAGGGAACAUCUAGGGUACACUAGGGUACUACAUCUAGGGAACAUCUAGGGUACACUAGGGUACAACAUCUAGGGAACAUCUAGGGUACACUAGGGUACAACAUCUAGGGAACAUCUAGGGUACACUAGGGUACAACAUCUAGGGUACACUAGGGUACAUCUAGGGUACAACAUCUAGGGUACACUAGGGCACAUCUAGGGUACAACGUCUAGGGUACACUAGGGCACAUCUAGGGUACAACAUCUAGGGUACACUAGGGUACAUCUAGGGUACAACAUCUAGGGUACAUCUAGGGUACACUAGGGUACAACAUCUAGGGUACAACAUCUAGGGAACAUCUAGAGCACAAUAUCUAGGGUACAAUAUCUAGGGUACAAUAUCUAGGGUAUAAGAUCUAGGGUACAAGAUCUAGAAAAAAAUAAGUGUCUCACUUUCUUUUCCUGUCCACCCCUCCAAAACUAUAUGAAAGGGGUUUGAUAUCUGGACUGUUAUGAAAGGUGUUUGAUAUCUGGACUGAUAUGAAAGGUGAUUGAUAUCUAGACUGAUAUGAAAGGUGAUUGAUAUCUGAACUGAUAUGAAAAGUGAUUGAUAUCUGGACUGAUAUGAAAGGGGUUUGAUAUCUGGACUGAUAUGAAAGGGGUUUGAUAUCUGGACUGAUAUGAAAGGGGUUUGAUAUCUGGACUGAUAUGAAAGGUGACUGAUAUCUGGACUGAUAUGAAAAGUGAUUGAUAUCUGGACUGAUAUGAAAAGUGAUUGAUAUCUGGACUGAUAUGAAAGGGAAUUGCUAUCUUUGUUCAAAUGUUGCUGUUUUUGGUUUUGAAAUCUGAUUUUCUCCUCUUUUUCCUGUACAUCCAUCCCCCUUUCUGACCUCCUCUCCCUUUGAACUAUAGUUUUGAACUAUAGUUGGAAUCAGUCAAAUUAUUUGUUAAAUUGUACAUAUUUUUUUUAUUGGUCCAGUUGGUUUCACAUUGGCAAAGGUCAAUCAAAAUAAAAUUCCUAAACAAAACCAUGUGUCCAUGCAAGUAAAUUGUUUAUUGGACAAAAAUUCUCACGUUAAAUCCAUUCAUGAUUAUCAUGAAGCGUCACUUGUGUGUCCCAGUCUACAUAUUACUUUCGCUUUAG